UACGUAGGUGGCAAGCGUUAUCCGGAUUUAUUGGGCGUAAAGGGAACGCAGGCGGUCUUUUAAGUCUGAUGUGAAAGCCUUCGGCUUAACCGGAGUAGUGCAUUGGAAACUGGGAGACUUGAGUGCAGAAGAGGAGAGUGGAACUCCAUGUGUAGCGGUGAAAUGCGUAGAGAUAUGGAGGAACACCAGUGGCGAAGGCGGCUUCCUGGUCUGCAACUGACACUGAGGCGCGAAAGCGUGGGGAGCAAACAGG
rnacentral:rRNA from 2 species